rnacentral:misc_RNA from 1 species
GAUGAAGAACGUAGCGAAAUGCGAUAAGUAGUGUGAAUUGCAGAAUUCAGUGAAUCAUCGAAUCUUUGAACGCACAUUGCGCCCUUUGGUAUUCCUUAGGGCAUGCCUGUUCGAGCGUCAUUUAAACCUUCAAGCUCAGCUUGGUGUUGGGUGACUGUCCGCUUCACCGCGGACUCGCCUCAAAAUUAUUGGCGGCCGGUACAUUGGCUUCGAGCGCAGCAGAAACGCGAACUCGGGCCCGUCGUAUUGGCUCCCAGAAGCUAUCUUCACAAUUUUGACCUCGGAUCGGGUAGGGAUACCCGCUGAACUUAAGCAUAUCAAUAAGCGGAGGA